CACCACCCUUUCUUUUUCUCCCUUUUCUCUUGCGGCUGGAAGGAGGAAUGAAGGGAAGAGAGGUGCUACCAAAAUGCCCAAGAAAAACAUAAAAAAUGCUGGCCGAAAUCACCUCUCCCUUUUGAAAUGCAAAGGGAUAAAGAUGAGCUCCUAUUUUUUAGGAGCUCAUCCUUAUCUCUAUUUCAUGCCACCUAGGAGGGGCGUGCGCCC
rnacentral:lncRNA from 1 species